UAUGGCUCAGAUUGAACGCUGGCGGCAUGGCUAAAACAUGCAAGUCGAACGCGAACGGGGCUUCGGCCCUUAUUAGAGUGGCGCAAGGGCGAGUAAUGCGUUUCUAACGUGCCCCGGGCUUGGGGAUAGCUCGCCGAAGGGUGAAUUAAUACCCAAUAACAUCGCGCCGUCAUACGGCGGUGCGAUCAAAGAUUUAUCGGCCUGGGAUCGGGGAACGUCCUAUCAGGUAGUUGGUGGGGUAAAGGCCUACCAAGCCUAGGACGGGUAGCGGGUGUGAGAGCACGGCCCGCCGCAUCGGGACUGAGACACUGCCCGGACUCCUACGGGAGGCUGCAGUAACGAAUAUUCCGCAAUGGACGAAGGUCUGACGGAGCAAUGCCGCGUGCAGGAUGAAGCCCCUCGGGGUGUAAACUGCUGUCAGGGUUUAGCAACAAAAUGAGCAGACCCAAAGGAAGAGGCGACUAACUCUGUGCCAGCAGUCGCGGUAAUACAGAGGCCUCGAGCGUUAAUCGGAAUCACUGGGCUUAAAGCGUGCGUAGGCGGAAUCGCAAGUACCUUGUGAAAUCCCAUGGCUCAACCAUGGAAUUGCUCGGUAGACUGCGAUUCUUGAGGCCGGUAGGGGCUGCCGGAACUUUAGGUGGAGCGGUGAAAUGCGUAGAUAUCUAAAGGAACGCCCAAGGCGAAGGCAAGCAGCUGGGCCGGAUCUGACGCUGAGGCACGAAAGCGUGGGGAGCGAACGGGAUUAGAUACCCCGGUAGUCCACGCCCUAAACGAUGCGCACUAGAUCGUGGAGAUUGCAAAAUCAUCAUGGUCGAAGCAAAGGUUUUAAGUGCGCCGCCUGGGGAGUACGGUCGCAAGGCUAAAACUCAAAGGAAUUGACGGGGGCUCACACAAGCGGUGGGGCAUGUGGCUUAAUUCGAAGCAACGCGAAGAACCGUAUCCAGGGUUUGACAUGUACGGAUUAACUCCCUGAAAGGGGAGCCACGCUCUUUGAGUGGAACGUACACAGGUGCUGCAUGGCUGUCGUCAGCUCGUGCUGUGAAGUGUCGGGUUAAGUCCCUUAACGAGCGAAACCCCUGUCGUUAGUUGCUAAGUCGCAAGACAGGACUCUAACGAGACUGCCGGUGUCAAACCGGAGGAAGGUGGGGAUGACGUCAAGUCCUCAUGGCCUUUAUGCCCUGGGCUGCACACGUGCUACAAUGGCGUAUACAGAGCGACGCGAUACCGCAAGGUGGAGCAAAUCGCACAAAGUACGCCCCAGUUCAGAUCGGGGUCUGCAACUCGACCCCGUGAAGGUGGAAUCGCUAGUAAUCGCGCAUCAGCAAUGGCGCGGUGAAUGUGUUCCUGGGCCUUGUACACACCGCCCGUCAAGUCAUGGAAGCCGGGAGUACCCGAAGUCGUCACAAUUCA
rnacentral:rRNA from 1 species